CCUACGGGGGGCAGCAGGGGGGAAUAUUGGACAAUGGGGGCAACCCUGAUCCAGCCAUGCCGCGUGUGUGAAGAAGGCCCUCGGGUUGUAAAGCACUUUCAGUGAGGAAGAACGCCUGGUGGUUAAUACCCAUCAGGAAAGACAUCACUCACAGAAGAAGCACCGGCUAACUCCGUGCCAGCAGCCGCGGUAAUACGGAGGGUGCGAGCGUUAAUCGGAAUUACUGGGCGUAAAGCGCGCGUAGGCGGCUUGAUAAGCCGGAUGUGAAAGCCCCGGGCUCAACCUGGGAACGGCAUCCGGAACUGUCAAGCUAGAGUGCAGGAGAGGAAGGUAGAAUUCCAGGUGUAGCGGUGAAAUGCGUAGAGAUAGGGAGGAAUACCAGUGGCGAAGGCGGCCUUCUGGACUGCAACUGACGCUGAGGUGCGAAAGCGUGGGUAGCAAACAGGAUUAGAUACCCCAGUAGUC
rnacentral:rRNA from 1 species